GUGGGGAAUAUUGCACAAUGGGGGAAACCCUGAUGCAGCAACGCCGCGUGAGUGAAGAAGUAUUUCGGUAUGUAAAGCUCUAUCAGCAGGGAAGAUAAUGACGGUACCUGACUAAGAAGCUCCGGCUAAAUACGUGCCAGCAGCCGCGGUAAUACGUAUGGAGCAAGCGUUAUCCGGAUUUACUGGGUGUAAAGGGUGCGUAGGUGGCAGUGCAAGUCAGAUGUGAAAGGCCGGGGCUCAACCCCGGAGCUGCAUUUGAAACUGCUCGGCUAGAGUACAGGAGAGGCAGGCGGAAUUCCUAGUGUAGCGGUGAAAUGCGUAGAUAUUAGGAGGAACACCAGUGGCGAAGGCGGCCUGCUGGACUGUUACUGACACUGAGGCACGAAAGCGUGGGGAGCAAACAGGAUUAGAAACCCGAGUAGUCC
rnacentral:rRNA from 1 species